rnacentral:lncRNA from 1 species
GGGAGAGAGGUGACAUCUGAGCAGUAGGUGUCGGGAGGGAGCCACCCAGGCAGAAACAAGGUGGAGGGCAUUCCAGCCAAAGGGUCCUGAGCUGGAAGUGACACACACGCCUUUAAUCCCAGCACUCAGGAGGCAGAGGCAAGUGGAUCUCUGUGAGUUCAAGGACAGCCUGGUCUAAAGAGCAAGUUCCAGGACAUCCAGGGCUACACAGAGAAACCCUGUCUCAACAAACCAAAACCAGGGCUGGAGAGAUGGCUCAGUGGUUAAGAGCACUGACUGCUCUUCCAGAGGUCUUGAGUUCAAGCCUCAGAAACCACAUGGUGGCUCACAACCAUCUGUAAUGGGAUCUGAUACCCUCUACUGGUUGUGUGUCUGAAAACAGCUACAGUGUACUCAUAAAAAUAACAAAAUAAAUUAAUCUUUAAAAACAAACAAACAAAAAAACCCAAACCAAAUAAAAAAGGACAAAGUUCUGGGAUCAGGAAGAAGUUUGGUGAGUCUAGGCACAGUCUGAAGGCUGUAGUAACUGACCAGAAGGAUCAGGCAGAGAGGAUACAGAGGGAGCAAAAGUUCCUACAAGAACUUAUCAGCCCUGAUAACGACUUAGAAUUUGAAAAUGUAACUCCCUCCCAGUCUAAAGAGCAGAAACAGAUGGGUACACAUCACAGUCACGGGUGAUAGCAGAGGUGACAUUUUACCUGAGAGCAGGAGAAUGGCAGAGUGGAUGGGUCUUUCCAAUGGAGGGUACUGUGUCUCAGGUGCAAUGGAGGGUACUGUGUCUAAGGUGCAGUGUAGGAUACUGUGUCUAAGGUGCAGUGUAGGGUACUGUGUCUCAGGUGCAAUAGAGGGUACUGUGUCUCAGGUGCAGUGUAGGAUACUGUGUCUAAGGUGCAGUGUAGGGUACUGUGUCUCAGGUGCAAUAGAGGGUACUGUGUCUCAGGUGCAGUGUAGGGUAC